AUGCAACUCAAGUGUUGCAAUAAGAUAAUUUGCUUGAAGAUACCGUUUCAUCUACAACAGCUCAGAUAUCUGGACGUGUUUGACGGCGGCAGCUUGCUGCGGGUUAUAGAGGUAGAAGCUCCAAACCUCUCUAAUUUCCAGUUUAUGGGUCAUCGCCAAGUACAACUAUCGCUUGCAGUAGGAUUGCAAUUCAAGAAGUUCGACCUGUCCUUUCCUGGUGCUGUCAGCUAUGUUUGUUCUGCUUUUCCGCCCAGCUUGCGAUAUGUUGAAGCUCUUUCCCUAGGUUCAUGGCGUGAGAUGAUUGAUACACCGGUUCUACCUAGCAAAUUCUUACAUCUCAAGCACUUGAGUGUUGAUCUUCAAGCAAUGACAUUUCCCCCAACCUACGACUACUGUUCUUUGAUAUCCCUUCUUGAUGCUUCUCCUUCCUUGGAGACCCUUGUCAUGAACGUUUUGCAGAAAAAGAUGUUGCACGAAUCAAUCGUGGGAGAUACAUCACAUUUGAGGCAGAUGCCAGGACACCGCCAUGAUAGCCUCAAAACAGUGAAGAUCAUUGGUUUCUCCUCUGCGAAAAGCUUAGUAGAGCUAACAUGCCAUAUCAUUGAGAAUACAACGUCACUUGAGGGCCUUACAUUGGACACCACAAGAGGACAUCCUUCGUAUAGCUGUUUAACCAACAAUAUUGGAAAGUGCAUGCUGUUGCGCGGGGAUUUUAUGGUGGAAGUUCGUAAAGCGCUCUUGGCUAUCAGGACAUAUGUUGAGCCAAAAGUUCCUUCCAGAGUCAAGCUAAAUGUUGUGGAGCCUUGCCGCCGAUGCCAUGAUCAACCAUUGAUCAUAUGUUGA
rnacentral:rRNA from 1 species